rnacentral:rRNA from 1 species
GGGCCCGCACAAGCGGCGGAGCAUGCGGAUUAAUUCGAUGCAACGCGAAGAACCUUACCAAGGCUUGACAUAUAGAGGAAAAGUGCAGAAAUGCACUCCCCGCAAGGUCUCUAUACAGGUGGUGCAUGGUUGUCGUCAGCUCGUGUCGUGAGAUGUUGGGUUAAGUCCCGCAACGAGCGCAACCCUCGUCCUAUGUUGCCAGCACGUAAUGGUGGGAACUCAUGGGAUACUGCCGGGGUCAACUCGGAGGAAGGUGGGGAUGACGUCAAAUCAUCAUGCCCCUUAUGUCUUGGGCUUCACGCAUGCUACAAUGGCCGGUACAGAGGGCUGCAAUACCGCAAGGUGGAGCGAAUCUCAUAAAACCGGUCUCAGUUCGGAUUGGAGUCUGCAACUCGACUCCAUG